rnacentral:lncRNA from 1 species
GGAAAGAGAAUACAAGGAAGCCCUUGAAGCCUUUAAUGAAAAGAACAAGGAGAAAGUACAGCUAAUCACCAAACUAAUGGAGGUUAGUUUCAAAUAUUUUUCCUGUUCAGAUAGAAAAAUGCAAGAGUUACACUUUCUAAUUUUGGGAUCUCUUUCUUCACAAUCUGCAUUGUGGCUUUUCUAUCGGAUGAACAGCUGGUGGGCGAAAGCGAGAAGUUGAGGAUGAAGAAGCUGGAGGAGCUGAGUAAGAGCAUAGAUUCUAUACAAAACUGAUAAUAACCUAAUGCUGAUAAACUGAUGAUUAGGUCUGAGUGAUGUAUUUAAGAUGACUAUGAUAUUUAUUAUAUAUGGUGUUUUCAGUUUGUUGUAUUGUAUGUGUCCUUGUUUGUUUUCAAGUAGAAUUUGUUGGAUCAUUAGCUGAUUUAGGAAGGGAAUUACCCGAUAAACAGGUUUGUAACUAAAUGCAUCAUGUCUUGACUCUGCUUUUCUUGUUAUUUUUACUCUUGUUCAACUUUGUAAUGUCUCCUUAUUGAGUUUUUGUGUAAUUUGGGGUUUGUACCGAGGCCGUAUUAUCUAGUUUGUAAACUAUUUGCUGAUCUGUGAACAACUUGGUUUGCCAUUCUUUCUUCAAGCAUUCCAUAGAGGCUGCAGAUGGAAUUGCUUCAAUCUAAGACAUGAAGCAAUUCUGUUAAUGCAGGUGAGAAACUGCAUAGAAGAACAUUCAUUUUUAGUGUUAAAGGUAAAAGUUGUGCUUUCUGGAAUCAAUUUCUUUACAUACUCGAUACUAGGCAACAGCAUCAUUUUACGUGUGACGUUGAUAUAUUAGCAAAACUUAUCCUAUCAAUUCAUGGAAAAGAUGUGGCUUUGCUGUAAAUGGUGAUUGUGUGGUCGGGAAAUGAUGCAGCUCUAAUGGUUUAUACAGAUCAUUCUGAUAGCCAUUUCCUUUUUCUGAAAGUUGCUUUCAGAUUCAUUCUUCAUGACAUUAUUUUUUGCUCUGUAACCCUGGGUGGUCCAAGUAAGUAUUAACUCACUUGGAAUCUACAUGGUUUAUGGUAGCUUCCAAAUCCCAGCGUGUGGUUAACAUUAUUGCGGAUUAAGCAUCUUGAUGAUUGGAUUUUUGCAUGGAAAAUAUGUUGUGCCCGUGUGACUUUUAAUCAGAAAUGCUCAUGUAGAUGUGGGCAACUACCCCAAAUUUGCCAUUCAUUUAGUGACCAACUAAACACGUGAUGCAAUUUUGUAACCGUGCCCAUAUGGGUAACGUUGGCCCUAGAUUUAUCCAAGAAUUAUUGAUAUAGAUGCGAAUAUACCGUCGUCAUGAAGUAAAAUUACCAACGAUCAAGCAUACAUGGGAGGGUACAAUAGUCACUUAACUCAUUUUAAGCACCCAAGAUGUUCUAAAAUGGAAUGGUCUUCAACAAUUAAAGGGAAUUUUUCAUCCUUUAUGUUUCCCCAUCUUUAUGAUGUAUCCACAGCGUAGCUUAUCGUUUACUACGAGUCUACUACCAAAGGCAAGACUCGUAUGUGGAUGAGACUGGAGGGGGCAUCGUUACCUUAUCCUAUCCUCUACUCGACGUUGUCAUUUUUCAAUGGAAAUAACACAAUACAUGAACAAUGAAAAGACCUGGCAAUGAAACCACAUCCAGAAAUUUAGGACUCUGCUUUCAUUUCUGUCUUAAGCCGGGCUACUUAACUUUUGGCUUUUGAAUAAACUAAUUUAUUGUGAUUUUUAAAGGUUUCUUAUUAUUAAUGUGAAUUAUGAACCUGUUAAACGCUCAACAUCAUCAUAUUUAUUAUUUUUUAUUUUUCAGAAAAUAGACAGUUUACCGAACUGAUAUUGAAGCUCAAAAUGUUGACCUAUAUUUAUCAUCAUUAUAUGAGUUCAGGUACUAGAUUAAUGAUAUAUUUAUUUGCCCUUCUCAUGGGACAGAAAGGCCUACCGUUUUAACAACUACAACUACCAGCUAAAGAUAAUAUUUCCUUCUCCUCGUUCUUUUUAAUUCUUUUGUUAAAAAUCAUUAGAUAAGACAAAUUGAAAUUCAAUGCAAUCUAGGAACAAGAGACAAACAAUGUUGUAACAACCAUGUUGGGAUGCGGUGAUGAUUCAUUACGGUACUUGCAUAUUUAUUUUAUAGAGUUGGAGGGAGCUAAUUUAGGUCCUAUUUGGGAUUAAUGUACCAUAAAAAAAUAUAUAAUUAUAAAAUUAAAGUUAAUAAUUUAUAGUAAAUAUAAAUUUUAAAUAAUAAUUCUGAUAAAAUUAUUAAAGAUAUAAUUGAUUUUUUAUUAUACAAGUGAAAAGUUAUAUCAAUAUAACUUCCAAAUUACAGUAGUUAGUGCUUACCAAACACUUUAAUGCUAUAACUUUUACCCUACAGCUGCCUAACAGGCCAAAAAUACCCGCCCGGUCCGGACCCGGACCGUACCCAAACGUUGUAGGCCGGGUAUUACCUUACCCGAGUAUAAAGCUGGGCCAGUCUUGGGCACACUUGAUAAACCCGGAACCUAAAUUUUAUUUUAAAAAAUAUUAUAAAAUAUAUAUUAUUUUAAAUAUUUAUAUUUAUUUGACUCAUUUAUUACACAUAUAUGAAGUUUUAAAUACUUAAAGUUUAUAUUUUCAUGUCAAAUUUUAUUGAAAUAAAUUUAAAACUUAUAAAAUUACCAGAAUAUAAAAAAAAUAUACACAUAUAAUAUUAAAAAGGGAAAAGGACAUUCAACCCCCCAAUGUUUAGUAAAAUGGACAAAAAAUCCCUCAACGUUUCAAAAAGGACUUAUAACCCCCUUUCCGUUAAUAAACGCUGUUUGUUUU